AAAAUGGCCUUUAUUGGAGGUAGUCAGGAAAAUGUGGCCCUCUAAUGGGAGGAAAAUUAACAUUAUGUCUAUGGGGAAAAUUUUCGUUCCUCAAAAUAUUGGCCCUUAAUAGAGGUGGCCCUUAAGUAGAGGUGGCCUUUAGGAGAAGUUUCACUGUAUUA